ensembl:lncRNA
GGAAGACUCAAACUAAUUGCUACCAUAUUCUUUCUAGAGUUACUAAUUUCUAUGAAUUAAUGCCAUGUGUUUAAUUAUGUAUAUUUCUGUCCUUCAGCUAAGAUGCCCGCAGGCAUUGACGCUCCAGACACUGACAGUCCAGCAACUAUGGCCGAGCACUACAGAACCCUACGAUCUUUGUGUAAGAAGAAAACUCAAACUGUGAGUCCGUCUCUCAGCUCCUGGAUUUGGAAUUUGAUUCUUUUUGCGAGGAGGACAGACACAAGAAAAUUCCAGAGGACAUUGGACAUGUGAUGGAGGAGCUUCAGCGCGAUCUGGACAGAAAUAACAUCCAUUACAUUGAUGAGCUGAAGGGAAGAUGGGACGACUUCUGGAAAAAGCUGCUGAAACCCCCAGUAGGAAUGGACAAAGUUGAGCAGGCUCUCAGUAUCCUACGCGUGCUGCCUUCAUUGUUCCCCUCUUCAUCUGCUCCUCCUCCGAAGAAGUUAGGACAUCGGAUUGUUGGCCGCCUCCCGCUGUCAGCGGCGAACACCCGGAUUUCUCCAUCGUCCCAGCGCUGCAACAAAAGGUUUUUAACUUUUCUCCCGGGGCAGCCAUCGAGCCGUCCCGGUCCGGUUUUUGCCUCGAGCCGAUACCUCUGCCGUUGGUAGCUGGCUGUCGGCUGCCUCCCGCCCGUCCUCCGUGCCUCGCCCACUGCCACAAUACGGACCGUCUUCUCCCCUGUGCCGGACGAGUCUUCCCGUCUCCGUGUUUGGCUAACGGCUAGCUCCGGGCUAACGGCUAGCUCCGGGCUAACGGCUAGCUCCGGGCUAACACCUUCGGCGACCGGCAUGAAGCCCAAGUACUCUGUCCCACGGCUGCUAACUCUCGACAACCGCUCCAUUCCAACGUGCAUUGCAGCCAUCAAAGAACUUUGACGGCCGCUGGUCAAAAGUUUUUUUUUUUUUUUUGUUAUUUUUAUAUGAUACGUAACGCUACCGUACCGGCCUGUAGACCGGCCGCUUAGCUGCCGCGGAACGCAGCUGUGUGUCUGUGUGUGUUUCAGACCGGGCCAAACCAAUACUUCCAAUCUUGAGGGGGGGGGAUACGAGCGGCCCCUCCCAACUUGGACUGAUCCUCGUAUUUCCUGACAUCCGAUUGGCUCAAAGGAGUUUACUUGGUUAGGUUUGGGUUUGUGAGAAUGCAACAGAGACAGGCGGUAAAAAUGGCGAAAAGAAGGAAAGAAGAGAAAGAAGAUGGAGAAGACAUUGUAGGAUAUUAGAAACAAAUAUACGACCCGGUUCAUAAAAUUAAUAAAAAUGCAUAUAGUGUACACCAGAAUACAGCCAUGAUUCUGAAACUGUGUAAUCAAUAAAGUAAUGACAAUAGUGUAAAACCACUGUAAUUCUGCAACUGUACUAGAAUAAUACCAAUGCAGUUAUGAUUGUAUUUAAUGUAAUGUAAUCAACUGGAAUGCAUACAUGUAAUACUUGAACAACAACUGAUAUUGACAUUCGAAAUCCGAGUUACAAUGAACUCACCAGAAGACCACUCCCAGAGGUGUGGACACUAACUUUCACACCUUUGAGCAUUGGUAUAAAUACCUGUAGGAAUAUUGUUCUCGGUUCGAUGGUGGAGACACCAGACAGUCACUAUGGGGGGUCAAAGGACUGACCUGGGCCUGUUGGCUGCUGAGACCAGCGGCUCCUCAGCAGAGAUGUUCUUUUCACCACAACACCAUCUCUUUUAUUAAACACAUUUGAUUUAAUCUUUUGAUCUGCGAUGACCUCUGUCCGUCCGGCGUUUCUUCAUUUUUGAACACAACAACAUGGAACUGACUAACACCAGCUGCACCUCCUGUAAAGACUGUGCAAUUUGUGUUUAUCAUAUCCUCUCCAAAUACAACCCCCUCACUGAUGCCUAUCACGUCAUUGGACUGGUUCUUGCUUACGCUCUCUUUCAGUCAAGUGGCCUGUGAGAGGACCUUUUCUACUCCCUAGUUUGUCAAGAACAGACUGAGGAGUGGUCUGAAAUAAAUACA